AGGGUGGCCCUAACGGCCCGGGUGGCCCUAACGCAAGCCCUACUGGUGGUGGCUGCGAGAAACGCAAAGGGGAAGGAGAAAAGAGGCCUGAAGAAGGUGACUUGCUUGACCAACAGAACGUAGCACGAGUGAAAUUCUAAGAUUUCCAAGGCCAGGUCAUAAGAAGUCUUGCAGCUUCCACCCAGCCCUUUGAAGAACUCACUCUGGUGAUCCUGAGUCACCUUGGAAGAAGUCUGACUCCCUUCAGGUCAUCAUGCUAGAGAGGCCACACGUGUGCCAGUCAACAUGCCAGCUGAGCCCAGUCUUCCAGCCGAGGCACCAUACUGGAAGAAGCUUUGGGAGGCAACUUGGCAGGCCUGGAGAGAAGAGACGUCUCUCCCACAGCAUCAGCAAACUAACACAUCAGAAGAGGGACUGAUGGGCUGUCCGCUUUGCCCAGAACCCCACCCAGCUGCUAGAACCUGCUGGCUGUCUCCCGGGCCCUCCGCUCCUCCGGGGACCCUGUGCUGUUGUCCUGCGGGCCUGUAAACAUGCUGUAAACAACUGGUACUUGAGGAACCAGGAGAGAGAGAGCACCAGGACACGCUGUUACGUAACUGAACCCUCGACGCCCCUUGAGAAUGACAUGUUUGCAAGUUCCCAGGGACUGAUGCUACUGGGGCAACGAGGGAGAGAAGCCCCGCUUCAUCCUCCCCUUCCUCCUCCUCGGCCCACAUUUCCUCCUGUGGAAAUACUGGCUACCACGAGGGGUUCUAGCUUCAGCGCUGCGUUUUCUUGCCUGUGGCCCUUGUGACUGGCAUAGAAAUAAUUCAGCUGUUUCCAUUUUAAUUCCUCACCACAUGGCCAGAAUUGCUUAUCAAUGUAUAUUUUAAAAGGACAAAAAAAAUAUUUUAGGAGUUCCUGUUGUGGCGCAGUGGUUAACGAAUCCGACUAGGAACUAUGAGGUUGCGGGUUCGGUCCCUGCCAUUGCUCAGUGGGUUGACGAUCCGGCGUUGCCGUGAGCUGUGAUGUAGGUUGCAGACCUGGCUUGGAUCCCGAGUUGCUGUGGCUCUGGCGUAGGCCGGUGGCUACAGCUCCGAUUUGACCCCUAUCCUGGGAACCUCAAUAUGCCGCGGUAGCGGCCCAAGAAAUAGCAACAACAACAACAACAACAACAAAGACAAAAAAAAG
rnacentral:lncRNA from 1 species